UAGGAUGGUAUAGUGAACAAGGUCAAG
rnacentral:piRNA from 1 species